ensembl:lncRNA
GUAUUAAAAAUGAAAAUCCUUUAUACUGUAUGGCUUCCUUGGUUUUAUUUUCACAUUUGGUGAGUUCAGUACGUGGUAAUAUUUGCUGACAGUGUCCUACACUUCAUGAUCCUACAUACAGGGAAAUGGGCCAAUUAAAAACAAUGGACAUGCAAGUCCAAGUGAAUCUGUUUAUUAGACGCUGCUGUGGCACUGAACAGGACAACUGUCCACAGGCACACUAAAUUUAACAUAGCAUUCGUAAAAGAAACGCAUGAAACAAGACCAGUAUGUAGAAGAUCUAGACAAGAAGAAAAACAAACUGUUGGGGGGAGUUUCUCUUCUGCACUGUUCAACCAAUCCAGUAAAUGUGGAGGAGGAGUUAUAGUGUCUCUUGGUUAACAGUGUUUCUAAACAUACUGUACCGUCUCUGUUGUUAACAUGUCACAGGCUCACUUUCCCCUUCCCCUGUUGUUGGGGACUCCGAAGCUGCUACAGGCACACAGACUAUCCAGUCUAAGUAGUUAAGACUAAUUAACGUCAUUAUACUGUCAAUGUCCCACACCACUAGGGCGACAUCUGCCAUAGCAGCAAGAUAGUGUUCUGCUGUCACGAAGUCUAGAAUGAUUACAUUAAGAGCCUCAACAGCAUGAUUGCUUAUCUCCAGUGAAUCUAGAUUUCGCUAGAGCGUAUUUUCAUUUUGACAACCAUACUCUCUGGCCGGCUCCUACUGUAGUGCAGCAGCUGAACACUACGUCUGUGGUUGCCUUUUUUUUUUUACAUACAACAUUAAUGUAUUGUGUAAUAUUGCAUAUUUCACCUCUAUUCACUUAAAACUGUCCAGACUAUUUCUGAAAAUGAAACAGACUACAUCAGGGCUCUCCAACCCUGUUCCUGGAGAGCUACCGACCUGUAGGUUCACACUCCAACCCUGUUCCCGGAGAGCUACUG